ACGGGAGGCAGCAGUGGGGAAUAUUGGGCAAUGGGCGAAAGCCUGACCCAGCAACGCCGCGUGAAGGAAGAAGGUCUUCGGACUGUAAACUUCUUUUAUGAGGGUCGAAGGACGUGACGGUACCUCAUGAAUAAGCCACGGCUAACUACGUGCCAGCAGCCGCGGUAAUACGUAGGUGGCAAGCGUUAUCCGGAUUUACUGGGUGUAAAGGGCGCGUAGGCGGGGAUGCAAGUCAGAUGUGAAAUCCAUGGGCUUAACUCAUGAACUGCAUUUGAAACUGUAUCUCUUGAGUGCUGGAGAGGUAGAUGGAGUUCCUUGUGUAGCGGUGAAAUGCGUAGAUAUAAGGAAGAACACCAGUGGCGAAGGCGAUCUACUGGACAGAAACUGACGCUGAGGCGCGAAAGCGUGGGGAGCAAACAGGAUUAGAUACCCAGGUA
rnacentral:rRNA from 1 species